CAGCAGCCGCGGUAAAACGAAGGGGGCUAGCGUUGUUCGGAAUUACUGGGCGUAAAGCGCACGUAGGCGGAUACUUAAGUCAGGGGUGAAAUCCCGGGGCUCAACCCCGGAACUGCCUUUGAUACUGGGUAUCUCGAGUCCGGAAGAGGUGAGUGGAAUUCCGAGUGUAGAAGUGAAAUUCGUAGAUAUUCGGAGGAACACCAGUGGCGAAGGCGGCUCACUGGUCCGGUACUGACGCUGAGGUGCGAAAGCGUGGGGAGCAAACAGGAUUAGAUACCCCAGUAGUCCCUGUCUCUUAUAA
rnacentral:rRNA from 1 species